ACAGAAGUCCCACAAACUGUCUUAGAUCCAUUAACUCAUGUGAGUUUUUGUAAAUAUGUAUGCUUAUGGUGUGUUUCCUCAUGUAUUAGUAUAUAUUAGCACUUGUGAUUUGUAUUUAAGUUUGUUUAAGCUUGAUUAGUGUACAUAAAGCUCGUACGGUGUAUAUUUUAAUUUCAUCAGACUCUAUGUAAGUGUGCUUUUGUAAAUAAAGCUUAUUUUUCUUUCAUG
rnacentral:lncRNA from 1 species